UUAAAGGGCUGCAGUAUAUUGACUGUACAAAGGUAGCAUAAUCAUUAGUCAUUUAAUUGAUGACUUGUAUGAAGGAUUGGAUGAAAUAUAAACUGUCUCUUAAUUAUUAUAUUUAGAAUUUAAUUUUUUAAUUAAAAAGUUAAAAUAUAUUAAAAAGACGAGAAGACCCUAUAGAGUUUUAUGAAUUAAAUUAAUUAAGAUUAUUUGUAAGAUUAAAAUUAAAAUUAAUUUAUUUAUUUUGUUGGGGUGACAGAAAAAUAUGAUAAACUUUUUAUAUAUUUAAAACAUUAAUAAGUGAUUAAAUGAUCCAAUAUUAUUGAUUAUAAGAAAAAAUUACCUUAGGGAUAACAGCGUAAUUUUUUUUUUUAGUUCAUAUAAAAAAAAAAGUUUGCGACCUCGAUGUUGGAUUAAGAUAAAAUUUAAAUGCAGAAG
rnacentral:rRNA from 1 species